rnacentral:rRNA from 1 species
CAGUCGCCGCGGGAAUACGAAGGGGGCUAGCGUUGUUCGGAUUUACUGGGCGUAAAGCGCACGUAGGCGGAUCCUUAAGUCAGAGGUGAAAUCCCAAGGCUCAACCUUGGAACUGCCUUUGAUACUGGGGAUCUCGAGUCCGGGAGAGGUGAGUGGAACUGCGAGUGUAGAGGUGAAAUUCGUAGAUAUUCGCAAGAACACCAGUGGCGAAGGCGGCUCACUGGCCCGGUACUGACGCUGAGGUGCGAAAGCGUGGGGAGCAAACAGGAUUAGAUACCCCAGUAGUCCCUGUCUCUUAUAC